rnacentral:rRNA from 1 species
UACGGGGAGGUGCAAGCGUUAUCCGGAUUCACUGGGUUUAAAGGGUGCGUAGGAGGGCAGGUAAGUCAGUGGUGAAAUCUUCGAGCUUAACUCGGAAACUGCCGUUGAUACUAUCUGUCUUGAAUACCGUGGAGAUGAGCGGAAUAUGUCAUGUAGCGGUGAAAUGCUUAGAUAUGACAUAGAACACCAAUUGCGAAGGCAGCUCGUUACACGAAUAUUGACUCUGAGGCACGAAAGCGUGGGGAUCAAACAGG